rnacentral:rRNA from 1 species
UACAGAGGGGGCAAGCGUUGUUCGGAAUUACUGGGCGUAAAGGGCGCGUAGGCGGCCCGCUAAGUCGAACGUGAAAUCCCCAGCUCACCUCGGAGACUGCGUCCGAUACUGGCAGGCUUGAAUCCGGGAGAGGGAUGCAGAAUUCCAGGUGUAGCGGUGAAAUGCGUAGAUAUCAGGAGGAACACCGGUGGCGAAGGCGGGUCUCUGGGCCGAUACUGACGCUGAGGAGCGAAAGCGUGGGGAGCGAACAGG